UCAAGCUACUAAGGGCAUACGGUGGAUGCCUAGGCGCCAAGAGCCGAAGAAGGACGCGGUAAGCUGCGAAAAGCCACGGGGAACUGCAAGCAAGUAUUGAUCCGUGGAUAUCCGAAUGGGGAAACCCGGCCAUCGUCAUGGAUGGUCACCCGCAAGGGAGGGAACCUGGGGAACUGAAACAUCUAAGUACCCGGAGGAAGAGAAAUCAAACGAGAUGCCCACAGUAGCGGCGAGCGAAGAGGGCAGAGCCCAAACCGAGAAGCUCCGGCUUUUCGGGGUUGAGGACCGGCAGAAUCGAAGUCAGGCCUAGUUGAAUUACCUGGAAAGGUAAGCGAGAGAGGGUAAAAGCCCCGUAGACGAAAGGCAGAGCAGAGAGGCCGAGAUCCAGAGUACCACGAAGCACGAGGAAUUUUGUGGGAAGCAGGGGGGACCACCCUCCAAGGCUAAAAACUACUUGGCGACCGAUAGCGCAUAGUACCGUGAGGGAAAGGUGAAAAGAACCCCGGGAGGGGAGUGAAAUAGUACCUGAAACCGUAUGUCUACAAGCAGUCGAAGCGAAAGCGACGGCGUGCCUAUUGAAGAAUGAACCAACGAGUUAUCUGCACUAGCGAGGUUAAGUGGAAGACACGGAGCCGCAGCGAAAGCGAGUCUUAAGAGGGCGCUAGUUAGUGUAGGUAGACCCGAAACCGCAGUGAUCUACCCAUGUCCAGGUUGAAGCGCAGGUAAAAUUGCGUGGAGGACCGAACCGGUGAGCGUUGAAAAGCUUUCGGAUGAGAUGUGGGUAGGGGUGAAAUUCCAAUCGAACGCGGAGAUAGCUGGUUCUCCCCGAAAUAGCUUUAGGGCUAGCCUGAGGUAGUAAGUAUAGGCGGUAGAGCACUGAUCGGGCUAGGGGCCGUAAAGGUUACCGAACCCUGUCAAACUCCGAAUGGAUAUACUGUAGAGCCUUGGAGUCAGACUACGAGUGAUAAGAUCCGUGGUCAAAAGGGAAACAGCCCAGACCACCAGCUAAGGUCCCCAAUGUCGUACUAAGUGGAAAAGGAUGUGGGGUUUCAUAAACAACCAGGAUGUUGGCUCAGAAGCAGCCACCAUUUAAAGAGUGCGUAAUAGCUCACUGGUCGAGAGGCCCUGCGCCGAAGAUUCCCGGGGCUAAAGUAUGGAACCGAAGCUACGGAUGCGGUACUUGUACCGCGUGGUAGAGGAGCGUUCCCAUUGGGUUGAAGUCGUCCUGGAAGGGACGGUGGACUGGUGGGAAGUGAGAAUGUUGGCAUGAGUAGCGAAAAGAUAGGUGAGAAUCCUAUCCACCGAAAGCAUAAGGAUUCCUGAGCAACGAUCGUCGUCUCAGGGUAAGUCGGGACCUAAUCCGAGGCAGAGAGCGUAGGAGAUGGACAACUGGUUGAUAUUCCAGUACCGGUAGUAAUUGUUUGAGCAAUGGAGUGACACAGAAGGGCAGGCAAGCAUGCGAAUGGAAGAGCAUGUGUAAGCGUGUAGGGUGGUGCAUAGGCAAAUCCGUGCACUGAAAGCCUGAGGCGUGAUGCGGAGUGAGCAGAGAUGCGAGCGAAGUUGUUGACCCCACACUGUCGAGAAAAGCUUCUAGUGAGAGAGCUACCGCCCGUACCGUAAACCGACACAGGUAUGCGGGGAGAGAAUCCUAAGGUGCGCGGGAGAACCCUCGUUAAGGAACUCGGCAAAAUGUACCCGUAACUUCGGGAUAAGGGUAGCCACUGUUGUGAAGUCCCACGCGGAUGGAGCAUAGAGUGGUCGCAGAGAAGAGGCCCAAGCGACUGUUUACCAUAAACACAGGUGCCUGCUAAAGCGAAAGCUGACGUAUAGGUGCUGACACCUGCCCAGUGCCGGAAGGUUAAGGAAGGAUGUUCGGAUUAGUCCAAAGCAUUCGACUGAAGCCCCGGUGAACGGCGGCCGUAACUAUAACGGUCCUAAGGUAGCGAAAUUCCUUGUCGGGU
rnacentral:rRNA from 1 species